UUGAUCGCUUUCCUUUUUGUUGGCGGCCUGGGCUGCUGCUUGUUCUAGGCGGCGGCGUUGCUCGUUUUCUUGAUCGUGAAUCUAAGAACGAUGAUUUAUUUAGCAAAUAACAAAUUAGCAAGUUAAAUGUGUAUUUUAGAUCAAUCAUUUAGGGUGUUGUGGAAUCCAAGAGAGAUUUGCUUAGUUGUCGAAAUUUCAAACCAAUUCUGAUUUUCAAUGGUGUCACAGAAUCUGAUUGGAUUUUCGUCUUUUCGAACAUACGCAAAACCGAUAUCCGAAUCAGCUGUUUACUAAUGUGAAAAAAACUUGCAACUUAAUAAAUUUGAAAAAAAUUCUAUUGAAGUUUACAGUGAGUUCCGUUAAAAUCAAAGAAAAAUAUAUUGAAGAGAUCACAGUAAUCCAUUUGAUACACCAGGGGAAUCGUAUGUGAAAUUUAGCUUGCUAUUACUUGUAUGCUUGUAACGACGCAAAACAAACAGCAGAUUUGAUGUUACCAAAUAACGAAAAAAUUAUCUGGUACUAGUACAUAUCACGUAAAUAACUACCGAAUGACGAUUAACGAUAUAACAAAGCUGGUGUGAAUACCUCUAAUGUCUUUUAGUUAUCUAUUAAUAGUCAAUACAGCAAAACAAAAAUGACUCUAAACAAAUUAAGCUCAAGGGAUUUGUGGACGACGGAAGCCAAUCUUCGACGAACUGGCCAGACUAGAUAUACAUAUUGGGCUAAAACUAACUUUCUCCAAAACGAUCCCAAAUUUAUUUAGAUAAAAACAGAGACUACAUUUCGGGAAACAAAACUAUAUCACUCUGGUACAAUGUUUACUAAUAGCAUAAGUUUGCUAAAAAAAAAAUUUACUUCAGUUUUGCUCUUAAAUAUUGUUAAAAAAGAAAUGAGAAUAGUACUAUACAUUUGAUCUAUGGCACCAUGGACCGAACAGUGUUUGUAAAGAUACUAGAGGAUGUUAUGUUACCAUUUUCCAGCUGGGAAAUGCCUAUAAAAAAAACAUUUGAGCAGAAUAACGGUCCAAAACAUGCGAACAAACUAGCUAAGAAGCGUUUUGCAUAAAAAAAACGCCCUAAUGUCCUGGCCAACGCAGGUACUGGACCUGAAUCCAAACGAAAAUGUAUAGGGAAAUAUUAAACAAGUUUUAGCAAAAGCAGAUCGAUCAAAUAGAACACAACUUUCGCUAAUGGUCAAGGAGGCAUGGCAUGGAUGUAUUAAAAAAAGCUUUACAACCAAAUAUUAGUCAAUCGAAAACAUUUAGUAUUUAAAAUUUUAGUUGUUAACUAGAUGUUUUUCUGUUUUACUUUCAACAAAAUAGGCACUAUUAUUUUCGUGAAAAGAGUAAUUUUUUAGUUUAUUUUUUUAAUAAAUCUUGGUAUAAAAAAAACAUACGUAUAUUGAAAAUAUAAAACUAUGUAUAUACGUAGAAACAGCUAAAA